rnacentral:misc_RNA from 2 species
AACGCACAUUGCGCCCCCUGGUAUUCCGGGGGGCAUGCCUGUCCGAGCGUCAUUUCUGCCCUCAAGCACGGCUUGUGUGUUGGGCCCCGUCCUCCGAUCCCGGGGGACGGGCCCGAAAGGCAGCGGCGGCACCGCGUCCGGUCCUCGAGCGUAUGGGGCUUUGUCACCCGCUCUGUAGGCCCGGCCGGCGCUUGCCGAUCAACCCAAAUUUUUAUCCAGGUUGACCUCGGAUCAGGUAGGGAUACCCGCUGAACUUAA